rnacentral:rRNA from 1 species
AAGGAAUAUUGGUCAAUGGAGGCAACUCUGAACCAGCCAUGCCGCGUGCAGGAAGACUGCCCUAUGGGUUGUAAACUGCUUUUAUCCGGGAAUAAACCACGAUACGUGUAUUGUGCUGAAUGUACCGGAAGAAUAAGGAUCGGCUAACUCCGUGCCAGCAGCCGCGGUAAUACGGAGGAUCCAAGCGUUAUCCGGAUUUAUUGGGUUUAAAGGGUGCGUAGGCGGCCCGUUAAGUCAGGGGUGAAAGACGGUAGCUCAACUAUCGCAGUGCCUUUGAUACUGACGGGCUUGAAUGAACUAGAGGUAGGCGGAAUGAGACAAGUAGCGGUGAAAUGCAUAGAUAUGUCUCAGAACACCGAUUGCGAAGGCAGCUUACUAUGGUUUAAUUGACGCUGAGGCACGAAAGCGUGGGGAUCAAAC